rnacentral:rRNA from 1 species
CGGACGGGUGAGUAACACGUGAGCAAUCUGCCUUUGGGAGGGGGAUAACGUCUGGAAACGGACGCUAAUACCGCAUAAUGUAUGGUUUUCGCAUGGGAAGCAUACCAAAGAUUUAUCGCCCAAAGAUGAGCUCGCGGCUGAUUAGCUAGUUGGCGGGGUAAAGGCCCACCAAGGCGACGAUCAGUAGCCGGACUGAGAGGUUGAACGGCCACAUUGGGACUGAGACACGGCCCAGACUCCUACGGGAGGCAGCAG